CAGCCGUAAACUAUGCGCGUUAGGUGUAUCGGUGACCACGAGUUACCGAGGUGCCGAAGGGAAACCGUGAAACGUGCCGCCUGGGAAGUACGGUCGCAAGGCUGAAACUUAAAGGAAUUGGCGGGGGAGCACCACAACAGGUGGAGCCUGCGGUUUAAUUGGACUCAACGCCGGGAAGCUCACCGGAUAGGACAGCAGAAUGAUUGCCGGGCUGAAGACCCUGCAUGACUAGCUGAGAGGUGGUGCAUAGCGUAGACGUCU
rnacentral:rRNA from 1 species